rnacentral:rRNA from 1 species
CAGUCGCCGCGGUAAUACGGAGGGUGCAAGCGUUAAUCGGAAUUAUUGGGCGUAAAGCGCACGCAGGCGGUCUGACAAGUCGGAUGUGAAAUCCCCGGGCUUAACCUGGGAACUGCAUUUGAAACUGUCAGGCUGGAGUCUUGUAGAGGGAGGUAGAAUUCCAGGUGUAGCGGUGAAAUGCGUAGAGAUCUGGAGGAAUACCGGUGGCGAAGGCGGCCCCCUGGACAAAAACUGACGCUCAGGUGCGAAAGCGUGGGGAGCAAACAGGAUUAGAUACCCGAGUAGUCCCUGUCUCUUAUAA